AUGGUGAUUGUACAACUCCUGGCCAUCAAAUUGCUGCAAUCCCUUUUGUCUUUCUGUACGAGCUUUUGGAACUUGUUCUCUGGUUUCCUCAUUCCCAGAUCGGUAUGUCAUUUGAAACCCAGUCAUUCUUCAUAUUAACAAUAAUAACAAAUCAUUGCAACCAUAAUAACAAUUCAUGCUGAAUUUUGCAGCUAAUCCCAGUGUGGUGGAGGUGGUACUACUGGGGGUUUCCAAUUGCUUGGACAAUCUAUGGCAUCUUUGCAUCUCCAUUUGGAGACCUUAAGACUGUAAUUGAUACUCCUAAAGGACCUCAGAGAGUGGAUCUAUCUAUUCCUCAAGGAUAA
rnacentral:lncRNA from 1 species